rnacentral:rRNA from 1 species
AGAGUUUGAUCCUGGCUCAGGAUGAACGCUAGCUACAGGCUUAACACAUGCAAGUCGAGGGGAAACGACAUCGAAAGCUUGCUUUUGAUGGGCGUCGACCGGCGCACAGGUGAGUAACGCGUAUCCAACCUGCCCAUCACUUGGGGAUAACCUUGCGAAAGUAAGACUAAUACCCAAUGACGUCUCUAGAAGACAUCUGAAAGAGAUUAAAGAUUUAUCGGUGAUGGAUGGGGAUGCGUCUGAUUAGCUUGUUGGCGGGGUAACGCCACCAAGGCGACGAUCAGUAGGGGUUCUGAGAGGAAGGUCCCCCANAUUGGAACUGAGACACGGUCCAAACUCCUACGGGAGCA